GCAAGUCGAGCGCACCUUCGGGUGAGCGGCGGACGGGUUAGUAACGCGUGGGAACGUACCCAGAUCUAAGGAAUAGCCACUGGAAACGGUGAGUAAUACCUUAUACGCCCUUCGGGGGAAAGAUUUAUCGGAUUUGGAUCGGCCCGCGUUAGAUUAGGUAGUUGGUGGGGUAAUGGCCCACCAAGCCUACGAUCCAUAGCUGGUUUGAGAGGAUGAUC
rnacentral:rRNA from 1 species